rnacentral:lncRNA from 1 species
AUUUUACUAGCUUUCUGCCCCUAACUGCUCUCUCAUCGUUAAUUAAACGUGUUGCCUUUUACAGAAUGGAUGUUUAUACAUUUCCAAUAUAAAUAAAUUCGAAACCAUCCUCUCUCUCUGUCUCUCUCUCUCCUCCUUUCCCUUUGGUCUCUCGCCAUUUACAGGCGCUUCUUGGCAUGAGCCCUGAGUGGUGGACACCUUGAAAAUAAAUGAAGUUUUGAGAUGCAAAUCCAAACAAGAACAUUAAAUUAGCUCCCUUUUUUCUUUCACCCCGAGAUAUCUGGAGACGUAUACAAGGGUGGUGGGAAGUGAGCUGAAAAUCCCACCUACUUGGGAAAAGAAAGAAUCUGGGUGGGUUAGGAAGCCGGGUAUCAUCUCGGCCCUUCCCACCUCCUUCGGUGGCGGCCAGCCAGGCCGAGGCUGAUAAUAGUUUAACAGAUCUAUGAAGAAUUUCAAGAAGGAGCCGACUUUGGUUCUUGGGGGGUUGGAGGAGGAGGGGUGUAUUCCACCUGGGCUCCACCCACGUUUUGUUUCCUCUGCAACAGAGAGACGCGGCUGCUCUCGGUGGGGGACGCGCCCCUCACUGCGCAGAACCUGGUCCCAUCUCCCCGGAUUGUAAGAAAAGCGCACCCGCACGCGGGCAUGGUGCUCCUGUCUCACAUCGGGCCAACGGUUUACUCGAGCCAUUGGCACAGUCUCUGACUUAAAGGAGGAGAAAGCGGGUACCUGGGUUCGCUCGGGCCUGAGGAGGGGGAGGUGGGCCACUCUGGCCUCCCGCACACUCACCGCGCCCCUCCUCCUGUGUUGACCACUUAAGAACCCAAAUUGAGUCGUAAUUAAUUUCCCCUUCUCCGUCAUAAAUUGUUCCAUCCACUUUUCCCCUCCAUCUCACCUCCCAGAACGCACACACUAAAUCUCCCCUCCCCCGAGACGUCUCAAUUUCCUUCCUAUCGAUCCGGACUCCACUUUCCUUGAUUCCUGUUGCUGGAACCUCGGUCCCCUCCACCACCGGCAAGCCGCGUCCCCGACGGCCCUGUCCUGGUGGCUUCCCCAGCUGGGUACCACGGACUCUGCCCGCCCCAGGAGAAACGGAGGGAGCCUCAUGCCAUUCUCCUUUGGCUGAAACGUUUCAAACAUUUGAACAGGAAAAAAGCGCAACAAAUGGAACUGGCGGCUGGGAGUUGUUCACCACCACCCCCCCCUUCCCCCAGGGAGGUUCCAAUGAGACACCGGGGAGUGGAUGGAUGAAGCCAGGUCUUGGCCGAGGAAGGGUGAGCGCAGGGGCCGGCCGCGCCGAGGGAGUCGGAGAGCCAGCCCUGCGGGCGGCGGAAUCGAAAUCAGGCUCGUUUGGAGGCUACUUCAAGAAGACCGCGCAGGACUGCCCCCCGGGGCCGCCACCCUCCCG